rnacentral:rRNA from 1 species
GACGAAGGUGGCAAGCGUUGUUCGGAAUCACUGGGCAUAAAGCGCACGUAGGCGGCGGCGUAAGUUGGGUGUGAAAUCCCUCGGCCUAACCGAGGAACUGCGCCCAGUACUGCGUUGCUUGAGGAUCAAAGGGGUGCAUGGAAUUCCCGGUGGAGCGGUGAAAUGCGUUGAUAUCGGGAGGAACUCCGGCGGCGAAAGCGGUGCACUGGUUGAUUUCUGACGCUGAGGUGCGAAAGCCAGGGGAGCAAACGGG